UACAGAGGUGGCGAGCGUUGUUCGGAUUUAUUGGGCGUAAAGGGUCCGUAGGCGGUUCGAAAAGUCGGAUGUGAAAUCCUACAGCUUAACUGUGGAACUGCAUUCGAAACUCUCGGACUUGAGUGUGAGAGGGGUAAAGGGAAUUCCCGGUGUAAGGGUGAAAUCUGCAGAGAUCGGGAAGAACACCAGUCGCGAAGGCGCUUUACUGGCUCACAACUGACGCUGAGGGACGAAAGCUAGGGGAGCAAACGGGAUUAGAAACCC
rnacentral:rRNA from 1 species